UACGAAGGGGGCUAGCGUUGUUCGGAAUAACUGGGCGUAAAGGGCGCGUAGGCGGUCUUAUUUGUCAGAGGUGAAAGACCUGGGCUCAACCUGGGAAGUGCCUUUGAAACGGUAAGACUAGAGGGCGUGAGAGGAAAGCGGAAUUGUUCGUGUAGAGGUGAAAUUCGUAGAGAUGAACAAGAACACCUGUGGCGAAGGCGGCUUUCUGGUGCGCAACUGACGCUAAGGCGCGAAAGCGUGGGGAGCAAACAGG
rnacentral:rRNA from 1 species